rnacentral:rRNA from 1 species
UACGGAGGGGGCUAGCGUUGUUCGGAAUUACUGGGCGUAAAGCGCACGUAGGCGGCUUUGUAAGUUAGAGGUGAAAGCCCGGGGCUCAACUCCGGAAUUGCCUUCGAUACUGGCGAUCUUGAGUCCGGAAGAGGUGAGUGGAACUCCUAGUGUAGAGGUGGAAUUCGUAGAUAUUAGGAAGAACACCAGUGGCGAAGGCGGCUCACUGGUCCGGUACUGACGCUGAGGUGCGAAAGCGUGGGGAGCAAACAGG